CCUUGAAUGUGAUUUGGAACGACUUCCUAAAUCUCAUUCAUACUCUGGCCAGAGAUUCUUAAUCAUAUCAUAAAGUAUUCUCCCCUAAACGGUUUGAAGGUUAGAGAUCCCUUGUUGCACAUUCACUUGCCUCCAUGGCUAAGUGGCUUAACCCCAACUAUGUCGUGGACACCCUCCUGAUGGAGUGACUUUGACAUAAUCAAAGAUCAAGGACUUAACCACAAGAUAACUAUGAUGCCUCAGGUCAAAGGACUACUUUGCAUUAUCCCAACCAUGAGUUCUCAUGUGACAUGAGUAUGA
rnacentral:lncRNA from 1 species